rnacentral:lncRNA from 1 species
UUCAUAAAAUAUAGAUCCACUCUGAGAAGAAAUACCUUAAGUCCUUUCUUAGAAGAAUCGGUUGUUAGAUCGACGAUGCUAAUGAUAGCCCUGCGACCAUUCUGGAGGCAUGGAUGCAGUUCCUACAUUGAGAGAAAAGAUCAAUCUGACUUCACGUGGGCAAAGGGUCAUUGUGCAACAGAAAGAUAAUGUGCAACAGAAUUUCAAUGCGGAGAUGACUCGUAUCAUAAUGCCAUUAAUUUUCGUACCAGCAGUUCAGGGUCUAAACAUAUGGCAGCAAAACAAGAAAACAGAAGCACCAUCCUAAUCGCAUGAAUCGUCCGGUGGUUGAACAAACCCUCACAGUUCGCCUGAGUACAACACAUGAAGCUUCACAAAAGUGUUGCC